rnacentral:rRNA from 1 species
AUGGAUGAUAUUGUGGUGAAAUCCAGAAAGGAGGAGACAUUGAUAGAUGACUUGAAGGAGACCUUUGAUAACCUCCGGGUUUAUAAAAUGAUGCUUAAUCCGGCCAAGUGUGUCUUUGGUGUUCCGACAGGCAAACUCUUGGGCUUUCUGGUGUCUAACAGGGGCAUUGAAGCUAACCCGGAGAAAAUCAAGGCUAUAACUUCUUUGGCUAAACCGAAGUGUAUCAAUGAUGUUCAAUGCCUGGCAGGUCGGAUUGCAGCCUUGAGCCGGUUUAUCAGUCGCCUUGGGGAGAAGGCCAUCCCUUUAUAUCAGAUGCUGAAGAAGACGGAUGACUUCGUCUGGAGUGAUGCCGCCAAUAAAGCGUUUGAGGACUUGAAGCGGCAGCUGGCCGAGCCGCCGGUCCUUGCUGCUCCUGUUGAUAAAGAACCCUUGUUGUUAUAUGUGGCUGCUAAUGCCCGGGCUGUUAGCAUGGCUAUUGUGGUGGAACGCAAGGAGGCCGGAAAGGAGUAUCCGGUUCAACGGCCGGUUUAUUAUAUCAGUGAGGUACUUAUUGAGUCCAAGCAGAGGUACCCACAUUGGCAGAAGCUGGUGUACGGAGUUUUUAUGGCGAGCCGGAAGCUUAAGCAAUAUUUCCAGGGCCAUCCUAUCACUGUGGUCAGUUCUGCUCCUUUGGGGGAUAUAAUCCAGAACAGGGAAGCAACUGGCCGGGUUGCCAAGUGGGCUAUUGAGCUUGGGCCUCACGGGUUAAAAUAUAUGCCCCGGACGGCGGUCAAAUCUCAGUGUGACACGGGCGUUUCAGCGUUGGUGCUAUGA